GGCCUGUUAGCUCAGCUGGUUAGACCGUAGUGCUAAUAACACCAAGGUUGUGGGUUCGAUCCCCGUACUGGCUA
rnacentral:tRNA from 1 species